rnacentral:piRNA from 1 species
UNGGCCAUGCAUCUUGUCUCUGCAGUGCCA